CUUCCGUAGGAAUUGGUGAUGUUGAUAAGAAUGUAAUCUUCUCUUCAGGGAAAUGCAUGGGAACCAGCUUAAACGUAAGACAUUUUAACCGAAUAUAUAUAUUAAUUAAAUUAAAUUAAAUUAAUUUCUGGAUUUAGCGCGCAAAAACGAAGACUUUUGAAUAUUACCAUAAAUAUAAUUAACAGAACCGUGUGCACGUGCCUCAUUCAUGGGGAACGACUAGUAUACGAUUCUGAGAAUUAUAUUUAUUUAGCGGUCUAUACUGAUGAGAAACAGAUAUUUUCGAUAAGAAAAUGUUAAUUUCGAAACUAGUUUGCAGAUGACUGUAUAUAUUUAUGUAAUUUUCACUUGUCUUGCCCGUAUACGUUUUUGUUUCACUGUCAUACAAGCAGUGUCUUUUAUUUUAUAUUACCUCACUUAGAAACAGAUGAGGGUUGGUGACUGGAAGGGCAUCUGGUUGUAGAAAAUCCACUAUAAAUUCUGUCUCACCAAUGCAAGUAUGGAAAAGGGGACAUUGAAAGGAUGAUGUUGGGCUUCUUUUAAGUUUCCAUCUAUCAGAUCUACUUGCAACACUUUGCUAUACAUGUAGUCCUAGAUACACGAUGUCUGAAUAAAAGACAAGAUGGUCAUAGCUUGCAUGUCUUCGAUCGUUUGUCCACUUUCUGUAUCCAUGGUAACAUGUCAUCUGUUUUCCUCUUUUCUCAUUCAGAUUCCUGAAGAACCGUAGACGCCUAAAUGUUGCCUUGACACGAGCCAAAUUUGCGUUGUACAUAGUUGGACAUCUUGCUUCAUUGGAGGGAGAUGAAGAUUGGAAAUCCUUGAUACAAGACGCACACGACCGUCAACUUGUGAUACGGGUAGGGCAUCCAGACCAAUUCCAGUCGGUUGUUAAGAGAUGCCUCAAAGUAUGAUGAAGCUUUCAAAGUGGUCUGCUUCAUUGUUUGUUGUUGUCGCUGUUCUUAAAGUGACCUAAAUCCUCAAAAGGUCUUAUUCUAAAGAUCUAACAGGGAUGAAUAACACUGUUUCUGUUCUGUUCAUGGGGGGUCCUCGCUUAACCGGGUACUCCUCACCUAACUAAUACUCAUCAUUUAACAGGUACUCCUUCAUUGAUAAAUACUUUUCAGUUAACACACACACACAAAAAAAAAAGGAAAACAGAAAAAAAACUGUAAUUGAUAUAAAAUAAAACAAAGAUUAAUUUUUA